rnacentral:rRNA from 1 species
CCUACGGGAGACAGCAGUGAGGAAUAUUGGUCAAUGGGCGCGAGCCUGAACCAGCCAAGUCGCGUGAAGGAUGAAUGCCCUACGGGUUGUAAACUUCUUUUAUAAAGGAAUAAAGUGAGGCACGUGUGCCUGUUUGUAUGUACUUUAUGAAUAAGGAUCGGCUAACUCCGUGCCAGCAGCCGCGGUAAUACGGAGGAUCCGAGCGUUAUCCGGAUUUAUUGGGUUUAAAGGGAGCGUAGAUGGGUUGUUAAGUCAGUUGUGAAAGUUUGAGGCUCAACCGUAAAAGUGCAAUUGAUACUGGCAGUCGUGAGUACAGUUGAGGUAGGCGGAAUUCGUGGUGUAGCGGUGAAAUGCUUAGAUAUCACGAAGAACUCCGAUUGCGAAGGCAGCUUACUAAACUGCCACUGACAUUGAUGCUCGAAAGUGUGGGUAUCAAACAGGAUUAGAUACCCUGGUAGUC